GCCCUGAUGGUGAAAUUGGUAGACACAUCGCACUUAAAAUGCGCCGUCGCGAGACGUGCCGGUUCGAGUCCGGCUCGGGGCACCA
rnacentral:tRNA from 3 species